rnacentral:rRNA from 1 species
UACAGAGGUCUCAAGCGUUGUUCGGAAUUACUGGGCGUAAAGGGUGCGCAGGCCGCGCGGGCAGUCAAAUGUGAAAUCCAGGGGCUCAACCCCUGAAUUGCGCUUGAUACUUCCGUGCUAGAACUUUGGAGAGGAGUCUGGAAUUCUCGGUGUAGCAGUGAAAUGCGUGGAUAUCGAGAAGAACACUAAGGGCGUAAGCAAGACUCUAGACAAAUGUUGACGCUCAUGCACGAAGGCUAGGGUAGCGAACGGG